UGUGAAAAUCAAUUUGAUUUGAAUUGAAUAAAUUAUUUUGAUUUUAGGGUCUUUAGGUUUUAAAUUAAGUAUAUUAAUUUUUAUUAUUAUGUAAGAAAAAAUUAUUUUAAUUAUAGUGUAUAAGUAUUGUGAAAGAAUUUUAGAAAAUAAAAAAAAGAAAAAUUUAUAGUUUGUACCUUGUGUAUCAGGGUUUAUUAAAAUAAGAUAAUUAUUUAUUGUUCUCGAAGUUAAAAGGGCUAAGUAAUAGGAUUUAAUAUUGUAGAAUAAAUAUAUUAAACUAUUAUUUAGUAAUGAAACGUUAUUCGUUUUUAAAUAUAUCUAGUUUUUUAAGAAAAAAAUUUAAUUUUAUUAUGAUAUAUUAAUUUAUUUUAUAGUUAAUAAAUUAAUUAUUAUAUUAAGUAUUUUUAGGGAUUAGCUUGAAAAUAAAUUAUUAAAAUUUAAUUAAUUAUUUUGAAUAAUAUAUAGAAUUGAAAGUUUUCAUUAUUAGUAGUAUGUUAUAAUUAUUUAUUUAAAAUAUAUGAUUUUUAUUAGAUUUAGUUUUUUUAUUAAAAUAUAAAUUUUAAUUAGAAAAAUUUAGAAAUUAUGAUAAAAUUAGUAUAAAUUUAUAUAAAUUUAAUUUAAAAUAUUUAGGUUAGAAAAAGGAACUCGGCAAAAAAUUUUUCACCUGUUUAUUAAAAACAUGUCUUUUAGCAUAUAAUUAAAAGUCUAGCCUGCCCCCUGAGGAGUUAAAUGGCCGCGGUAUCCUGACCGUGCUAAGGUAGCAUAAUCAUUAGUUUUUUAAUUGAAAGCUGGUAUGAAAGGUUGGAUGAAAAAAUUACUGUCUCUUUCUAAUUUUUUUAGAAUUUUAUUUUUAAGUAAAAAAGCUUAAAUUUUAUUUAAAGACGAGAAGACCCUAUAGAGUUUAAAUGAGAUAUAAAUAUAUUUUUUUUAGUAUUAAUAUGAUAUAUAAAUAUAUUAUUUUAAUUGGGGUGAUUGAAAAAUUUAAUUAACUUUUUUUAUUUUUUAUCAUUAAUUUAUGAAAAAUUGAUCCAAUUUUAUUGAUUAUAAGAUAAAGUUACCUUAGGGAUAACAGCGUUAUUUUUUUUGAGAGUUCAUAUCGAAAAAAAAGUUUGCGACCUCGAUGUUGGAUUAAAAUUAAUUUUUGGUGUAGGAGCUAAAAAUAUUAAGUCUGUUCGACUUUUAAAAUUUUACAUGAUCUGAGUUUAGACCGGCGUAAGCCAGGUUGGUUUCUAUCUUAAAUUUAGUUUAAUGUUUUAGUACGAAAGGAUCAAAUAUUAAAUAAAUUAUUUUAUUUUUAGAAUAAAACUGUUAUUUUGGCAGAAUAGUGCUAUAGAUUUAGAAUCUUUAUAUGUAAUUAAUAUUACAAA
rnacentral:rRNA from 1 species